rnacentral:lncRNA from 1 species
AUAUGUACAUUAUUAUUACCAUACAAUUGUCUUAAUUUGGUUUAUUUAUUUAUUUAGUCCUUCAACUUUUCUUUAAUCUAUAAUUAAGCUUUUACACUUUAUUUAAUUUAGUCCUUAUACCUAAUUAACCUUAAUUCAAGCUAAUUCUCCUAAUUAAAACCUAAUUAACCACACAACUAACUUUGUAAAUAUAUUUAAUAAAUAUUUAUGAAUCUAUUUCACGAAAACGAUGACCCAAAAAUACACUUUCCAAUUACCUGACUAUUGAGUCAUUACAAUUCUCCCCCCUUUAAUAAAU